UAAUACGGGGGAGGCAAGCGUUGUUCGGAAUUAUUGGGCGUAAAGAGCGUGUAGGCGGUAAGGUAAGUCAAACGUGAAAGUCCUCGGCUCAACUGAGGAAUUGCGUUUGAUACUGCCUUUCUAGAGUACGGGAGAGGAGAGUGGAAUUCCUAGUGUAGCGGUGAAAUGCGUAGAUAUUAGGAAGAACACCGGUGGCGAAGGCGGCUCUCUGGACCGUUACUGACGCUGAGACGCGAAAGCUAGGGGAGCAAACGGGAUUAGAUACCCCGGUAGUCCUAGCCGUAAACGAUGGGCACUAGGUGAGGGAGGUAUCGACCCCUUCCGUGCCGUAGCUAACGCAUUAAGUGCCCCGCCUGGGGAGUACGGUCGCAAGACUG
rnacentral:rRNA from 1 species